rnacentral:lncRNA from 1 species
CUCAGAAUCCUUGCUGUUUUCUUGUAGUGAUAUAGGAUAGUGUUAUUAUUAUCAUACUCAUAACAUAUUAGUGUAAUAACUUACACAAUGAGAUUAUACAUCAAAAAGGGUUGUUAGACAAAAUUAUUUUGCAUAGGUUCUAAGGAACAAAUCAGAACAAAAAAGAGUUUUUGUUACAUAUCUCAUAAAAGUCCUUCCUCAAUAUAUCUCUUUACUGCAAGAGAAGAGCCAAGAAGGCGGAGAGUGAUGCACCAACGAUGGAUCCAACCACUGGAAAAGCCACGGUGGCUGAGGAAGUACCUGGUGCUGGAGCUGGAGACUCCAUGGUGGCCGCCGUACUCGAUCGAUCGAUGCGUUUUUGGACAUAAGUCCAUUGAUCGAUCUGUUUAUAAAAAAACGUUUGGAAUAUACCGAGGGACACCUUUCCUAGGAGAUUUCCGACAAACUAGUGAUCCUCGGAAUUUCCUCGGAAUUCCGUCGGAAAUUUCCGAGGGAUUUCCAAGGAAAGAAGAAAUUCCAAGGAAUUAUUUCCGAGGACUUGUUUCGUCGGUAUGUCGUCGGAAUAACGAUAUUCCGACGAAAUUCCGACGAUUUUUUCCCUCAGAAUCCUUGCUGUUUUCUUGUAGUGAUAUAGGAUAGUGUUAUUAUUAUCAUACUCAUAACAUAUUAGUGUAAUAACUUACACAAUGAGAUUAUACAUCAAAAAGGGUUGUUAGACAAAAUUAUUUUGCAUAGGUUCUAAGGAACAAAUCAGAACAAAAAAGAGUUUUUGUUACAUAUCUCAUAAAAGUCCUUCCUCAAUAUAUCUCUUUACUGCAAGAGAAGAGCCAAGAAGGCGGAGAGUGAUGCACCAACGAUGGAUCCAACCACUGGAAAAGCCACGGUGGCUGAGGAAGUACCUGGUGCUGGAGCUGGAGACUCCAUGGUGGCCGCCGUGGCUGAGCUCACUAACACAGCGGAGACAAAGAGGGCGACAAAGAAGUUGUUGACAUUCCUCAUUUCUAUUAUUAUUAUUAUUUAUUUAUUUUGGAUGAUGGUUUUGUGUGUUUUUUAUUUGAUGCCUUGAAGGUGAAGGUGGCAAUGAAGGUAUUUAUAUUAUGACAAAA